rnacentral:piRNA from 1 species
UAAUCGGAUGGUGUCUCUACAGACUAAACU